rnacentral:rRNA from 1 species
AUACGUAGGUGGCAAGCGUUGUCCGGAAUUAUUGGGCGUAAAGCGCAUGUAGGCGGUGCCUUAAGUCUGUCGUGAAACUGCGGGGCCUAACCCCGUAUGGCGAUGGAAACUGUGGCACUUGAGUGCAGGAGAGGAAAGGGGAACUCCCAGUGUAGCGGUGAAAUGCGUAGAUAUUGGGAAGAACACCGGCGGCGAAGGCGCCUUUCUGGACUGUGUCUGACGCUGAGAUGCGAAAGCCAGGGUAGCGAACGGGAUUAGAUACCCCGGUAGUCCUGGCCGUAAACGAUGGGUACUAGGUGUGGGAGGUAUCGACCCCUUCCGUGCCGGAGUUAACGCAAUAAGUACCCCGCCUGGGGAGUACGGCCGCAAGGCUUAAACUCAAAGGAAUUGACGGGG